GCCUGCUCUGCUGUGACAGGGCAUUGCGCACACCUGAGAGUCCUGGCAUCCUGCUGCCCUGUACAUCUGUACAGCAUUGUUGCAGGCAAAGCCAGAGUCCUCAGGUUUUUCCAAAAAGAUUUCUCUGUGGAAAAAGACAUGUUCUGGGACACACAAAUUCAGGAGUCCUAUACUCUGUGUGGCAUUUCUUCCUAAUCUGCAAGGAAGCCAGUUGGAUUUGCAUGAAUUUGGAGAGAUCUGAUGGAGAAUCAAACUCAACUGUUCUGAGUUCAUCUACACUGGCAUUUUAAGGCCGCUUCCUGCUCUCUCUACCUCAUAUAUGUAGAGUCUGAUCCAAAGGCCUGAAAGACAGAAGCAAGGGGAAAAACCAUAGGGAGUCAGUAGAGCAUCUGGGAGUCAACCCUAGAAAGACCAAAGUACCCAGCUUCAGCAUUGCCAGAGUAGAGACCAUGAAUAAAAGGGAAAUUCCACACUUUGUAAAAAAUCUGGCCUCUAAACAAAG